rnacentral:rRNA from 1 species
AUACGGAGGGUGCAAGCGUUAUUCGGAAUCACUGGGCGUAAAGGACGCGUAGGCGGGUUGGCAAGUCAGAUGUGAAAUCCUACAGCUUAACUGUAGAACUGCAUUUGAAACUGCUAACCUAGAGUAUGGGAGGGGGAGAUGGAAUUAGGGGUGUAGGGGUAAAAUCCGUAGAUAUCACUAGGAAUACCGAAAGCGAAGGCGAUCUCCUGGAACAUAACUGACGCUAAGGCGUGAAAGCGUGGGGAGCAAACAGGAUUAGAUACCCUAGUAGUCC